GACGGAGGGGGCUAGCGUUGUUCGGAAUUACUGGGCGUAAAGGGCGCGUAGGCGGAUUAGUAAGUUGGGAGUGAAAGCCCGGGGCUUAACCUCGGAACUGCUUUCAAAACUGCUAGUCUUGAGUGAAGUAGGGGAUGAUGGAAUUCCUAGUGUAGAGGUGAAAUUCUUAGAUAUUAGGAGGAACACCGGUGGCGAAGGCGGUCAUCUGGGCUUCAACUGACGCUGAGGCGCGAAAGCGUGGGGAGCAAAC
rnacentral:rRNA from 1 species